GGCGGCGGGGACGCGCGGGCAGCGAGGCCUGCGCGCCCGGCUGCGGGAGCCAUGCGGCGGGCCAGGAGCAGCGCGGCGGCCAAGCCACGCGGGCAGAAGCGGCCUGGGGCCUCUGCGGCCCCCGCAGCCAUAGCCUCGGCCGCAGCCGCCAGCCACGCACGGCGCCCCGCGGGCCAGGCCGGGGGCGGGAGCCGGGCGGCGGCGAGGCAGUCGUCGGCGAAGCGGCGGCCGAGGCAGUCGUCGCCACGGGCCCAGGAGGCGAGCCCCGGGGAGCCGCCGCCGGAGCUAGCACCGCUGCCGCCGCCGCCGCCGCCCCCCGCGACCCCGACGUCCUCGGCGGACCUGGGCGAGCAGCGGGAGCGCUGGGAGACGUUCCAGAAGCGGCAGAGGCUCACCUUCGAGGGCGCCGCCAAGCUGCUGUUGGACACCUUUGAAUACCAGGGCCUGGUGAAACACACCGGAGGCUGCCACUGUGGAGCAGUCCGCUUUGAAGUUUGGGCCUCGGCAGACUUGCACAUUUUUGACUGCAACUGCAGUAUUUGCAAGAAGAAGCAGAAUAGACACUUCAUUGUUCCGGCUUCUCGCUUCAAGCUCCUGAAGGGAGCUGAGAGCAUAACCACAUACACGUUCAACACGCACAAAGCGCAGCACACCUUCUGUAAGAGAUGUGGCGUUCAGAGCUUUUACACUCCCCGCUCAAACCCCGGAGGGUUCGCAGCUCCUGUUUGUUCCUCAUCUGUCAUGUGGAGAGUCCUUCCUGCCUACCUCGAGGAUCAGGAAAGGCUUUUGGAAAGUAUAAAAUCUUGUACAGAUGGGGGAAGUAUUUAAGGCUUAGGAAAUUAUCUGUCCAAACCCUGGAAAAGGCCUGUGAAUUCAUCAGGCUGUCACAUGGAGAUCGCUCUGGGCUUGAGUCUGUCUACUCUUUUGUACUCUCAGCUUAGUUCUGAAUGAUGUGCAGCCUCUGCCAUCGCUGGUUCGAGAAGUCUGAUCCCCCUCUGAGGUGAGGACAGCAAGCGAGGAGGAUGACAGUGUAAGCCAUGGAAUCGCCCCACACUGCCUGGAUGAGGGCACUGUGCGGAGUGUGGUCAUUGAGGAGUUCAAUGGCAGCGACUGGGAGAAGGCCAUGAAGGAGCACAAGACCAUCAAGAACAUGUCUAAGGAGUGAGCUCCUGCUUCUCUC